UUUUAAAGACAGCUAAGUUGUAUACAUGCACUGACUCGUUAAUUGGUAUAAUUAUUUUAUAUAUACAGCCUACGUGCUUUAAUAAGUGGGUGGAUCAAGGCGUGGUUUAUAUCUAUUCGAUUAACCGGUUAUUCGGCCUGCCUCUGGAACCAAGGUGUCCGGAUAAUCGAGGUUCUACGUAACUGUACCCUAUAUAUAUAUUCAGCUAUAGUACAUGAUUGAAUACUAUAUGAAGAGGCUACUAAUUAAGUAUACAGAGGAUUUCAGGUUGGUUGGCAGAAAUUACAAGUUGAAGUGAACCAACCUGUAAUCAGAUCUAGAGGUUUUCAGGUAGGUCCGUUGAGGGAAUGCUUCAGAGUGUCAUCAAAAGUUCAUUAUAGAUUACAAUGUCAUGUACAGUGCAACAACCAAAGAGAGUAGAUUUUUUUUUUUGGUACACAUUUUUUACAUUUUGUGGCAUAUCUUCUAAAGUAAAAGUGAUAUGAUCUAUUUGAGUGCAGGUACUGAAAGUUCAACUAUUGGCGCUUCCAUUGGACCACCACCUGUUACAUCACAUGACAUCAUCAGUAUAAAAUGGCUGUCUGAAGAUGUGUACUUCCGAAAAUAUGUUAGGAAUAGAAGUAGCUUAUUUGUUUGAGUUAAGAUCUGAAAUUUGUUGUGCAUG